AGCGAAUGCUGGCGGCAGGCUUAACACAUGCAAGUCGAGCGGGCACUUUCGGGUGUCAGCGGCGGACGGGUGAGUAACGCGUGGGAACGUGCCCUCUGGUUCGGAAUAACUCAGGGAAACUUGAGCUAAUACCGGAUACGCCCUUUUGGGGAAAGGCUUGCUGCCGGAGGAUCGGCCCGCGUCUGAUUAGCUAGUUGGUGAGGUAACGGCUCACCAAGGCGACGAUCAGUAGCUGGUCUGAGAGGAUGAUCAGCCACACUGGGACUGAGACACGGCCCAGACUCCUACGGGAGGCAGCAGUGGGGAAUAUUGGACAAUGGGCGCAAGCCUGAUCCAGCCAUGCCGCGGGAGUGAUGAAGGCCUUAGGGUUGUAAAGCUCUUUUAUCCGGGACGAUAAUGACGGUACCGGAGGAAUAAGCCCCGGCUAACUUCGUG
rnacentral:rRNA from 1 species